GGCACUUUUUGUUAUUAAGCGGCUUGCGUGGAAGGGGGAAUGAAACCUGCUGUAAAUCCCGGUUUGCGUUUCGCCAUUCUCAACGCGGGACCGCUCUGAUCCCGAAGCCGCUCUGGUUGUCACCCAGCAGCACUGUGCCCCACCACGCAGCUGCCAUCCGCCGUGCCCCCCCCGCCGCCCCAUCUCGGGAGGAAGGUGUGUGCGCACCGCCGGCUCCUCCGGACAAAGAAUGUGGGGUUGAGCCCCAUCCAUAUGGAUUUGUUUAAACAAUCCACGUUUAAGACUUACAAAGAGAUAACAUGCACAUUUGGGAUGCUUAGGGUCUAGAAUUUAGUAAAGAUAUUACAUGUCCCGAGCAGACACGCUCAGAUACUAUAAAUUAAGGGUAAAAUAUUUGAGGUCUUGAUCCCCCCCGCCUCGGCUGCCUCAAGUAGCGGCCCUAUCAGAACGGAUCCGGCUCUUCCCAUCAGCAGAAGCCACAGAACGAGCCCUACGAUUUCAUGCAACGUGAUAAGGGCAGAGUUACCUGAGCGAUCGCUCCGUGUACCAAACAAAGAGCGACAGAAGGGAGCAGCUCCGGCCCGGCACCUCCUCCCGGGGGGCGGAUGGGGCAGAGAGCGGCUCCGAACGUGGGCCGUGGGCUGGGGGGCGCCGGGAGAAGGGAAAAGUCCCCCCCACCCCACCUCCCAGCCCCCACCGCUGCGCCCAUUGAAGUUUCGAUGAGUUGUAACGAAUUAAACUCAGUUUAACACCCAA